rnacentral:rRNA from 1 species
AUGGUAUGGUUUUGUGGAUACUUUUGCGCCACGGCGCCGCAGUGGAUGCCCUUUUGCGCUGCUAGGCGACACGACCCAUUAAAUCGCUGUGGGAGCACGUAUUUGUGGAGUGGUCUGCAUGCGGGCGUCGGGGAGGAUGACCUUGCCUGCCUAUUUCUCUGGAUUUGGGUGCUAGGUCUUCAGUUUAAGGGGCCAUGGUGCUUGGUCCUCAGUUUGCGCGUGUUCUGGAUAGAUUCUGAUGUCGAGGGGAACAUGUUGUUUUCUUGCUUUUUUGACUGUGUGCUUGGUUAUGUUAUUUUGUUGGCAUGUCGCCGUGCUAUUUCCCUUGCCGACGCAAGAUGGACGAGGCUGUUCCAGUUUGUGGUAAUUGAAGUAGUGGUAUGUUCUUGUGCUGGUCAAGAAGAAACCAAAAUAGGCACUAAUGUAUCUUACUUUGAAUUAAGUAUUAUGCUAGCCAAGCUAAUAAAUCACCUUUAA